rnacentral:lncRNA from 1 species
GUUGGGCUUGGUUUCUGAAUGAACUGAUGAUUGAAGUGGAACAUUCGAAGGAGGUUCAGUUGUAACAGUCGAUAAAACGUUAGCUAAGGCUGUUGUUUGUUCUGCUUCAGCGUUAACGGUGUUUCGAUUGAGGAUCGUUAUAAAUGUCAACAGGAGUCCGUGUGUGAAAGCUUGUCCUAGCCACAUAUUGAAGAACAAUUUUAAUGAUACUGUCAAUGAUCAAAAUCU